ACUGCUCAGUAACACGUGGACAACCUGCCCUUAGGACGGGGAUAAACCCGGGAAACUGGGUAUAAUACCCGAUAGGUCUCGAUUGCUGGAAUGCAUCGAGAUUUAAAGCUCCGGCGCCUAAGGAUGGGUCUGCGGCCUAUCAGGUAGUAGUGGGUGUAGCGUACCUACUAGCCUACGACGGGUACGGGUUGUGAGAGCAAGAGCCCGGAGAUGGAUUCUGAGACACGAAUCCAGGCCCUACGGGGUGCAGCAGGCGCGAAAACUUUACAAUGCUGGCAACAGCGAUAAGGGAACCUCGAGUGCCAGGUUACAAAUCUGGCUGUCGAGAUGCCUAAAAAGCAUUUCAUAGCAAGGGCCGGGCAAGACCGGUGCCAGCCGCCGCGGUAACACCGGCGGCUCGAGUGGUAACCGUUGUUACUGGGUCUAAAGGGUCUGUAGCCGGCCGGAUAAGUCUCUUGAGAAAUCUGGCAGCUUAACUGUCAGGCUUUCAGGAGAUACUGUCUGGCUCGAGGCCGGGAGAGGUGAGAGGUACUUCAGGGGUAGGGGUGAAAUCUUGUAAUCCUUGAAGGACCACCAGUGGCGAAGGCGUCUCACCAGAACGGACCUGACGGCAAGGGACGAAAGCUAGGGGCACGAACCGGAUUAGAUACCCGGGUAGUCCUAGCCGUAAACGAUACUCGCUAGGUGUCGGCCACGGUGCGACCGUUGUCGGUGCCGUAGGGAAGCCGUGAAGCGAGCCACCUGGGAAGUACGGCCGCAAGGCUGAAACUUAAAGGAAUUGGCGGGGGAGCAC
rnacentral:rRNA from 1 species